GUGGCGGUGUGCGUUAAAGCUACGUGCAGCUCGCUCCGAGCCCUUCAGCACGGCCGAGGAUGCGUCCUCGCGAUGAUUGACUGCACAACAGUUCCUGAGAGAGCAGUGUGCCAAAUACCCCUGCUCCAGUUGGCCAUGUGCUGCCAAGGGCUGUAGGCUGGGUUCAGCAUCCAGGAGAGCUUCCCUCCCGUCGGAGCACAGCCACCUGUAAUGCAGCUCCAGGUGCUGUAGGGACUCCUUUGGUUCUUCACAAUGGCUCUCCCCCACCACGGCGUCCUAUCAAGCCUGGCCCCAAGGGAGAAGGUGCUUGUGAUGAGAAGGAAAUGACAACUGCCCAUGAGCCCUGUUCUCAAUCCAGUGGUCCAGACAAAGGGAGGCUGCACAGAUGGAGGCACCAAAACCUGGUCUCACCCUCUGCAAGCGCUGCACUUGACUUGUGAGUGGAGGAAGAUCCUUUUGGGUGCUCAGCCAGGAGCCUGGGACCUGAGCCUGCCUGCUUCUCCUGGCCUGCAGCGAUUGUGCUCCAGAGAAGGUUGGGGAAUAACCAAUAACCCCUGGCCCCUCAUCUGCCAAGCAACAGCUCUGCAUGAGAAAAGAGCGAAAGGAAGGGAACCCAGCUGCUGCAAGGGCUGAGCUGCACAUCAAAGUCUAAAGGGCCACCUCAACCCCACUGGUGCCUUUCACUCAGCUCUUCCCAUUACCAUGCUUAUGCCUAAAACGUGUGCAAAUUCCUUUUUGUAAAAACACUCCAGCAGUGGGGCCAGCUUGCCACUUUGCUGAUAUAAAAAAUCAAAGUUUCCGUAAACUCUGUCUAUUUUAAUACCUUGUUUUUUAAAGGUUUGUCACAUGCAAGCAAUGGCAAGAAAACAAAACUGGCCAUGUUCCAAAGUGUAA